CAAUAGCGUAUAUUAAAGUUGUUGCGGUUAAAAGCUCGUAGUUGGAUUUCUGCUGAGGACGACCGGUCCGCCCUCUGGGUGAGUAUCUGGCUCGGCCUUGGCAUCUUCUUGGGGAACGUAACUGCACUUGACUGUGUGGUGCGGUAUCCAGGACUUUUACUUUGAGGAAAUUAGAGUGUUUCAAGCAGGCGCACGCCUUGAAUACAUUAGCAUGGAAUAAUAAGAUAGGACCUUGGUUCUAUUUUGUUGGUUUCUAGACCCGGGGUAAUGAUUAAUAGGGACAAUUGGGGGCAUUUGUAUCAACACGUCAGAGGUGGAAUUCUUGGAUUGUGUUGCGACAAACUACUGCGAAAGCAUUUGCCAAGGAUGUUUUCAUUGAUCAAGAACGAAAGUAAGGGGAUCGAAGACGAUCAGAUACCAU
rnacentral:rRNA from 1 species